AAACCCAUUGCCUUAGGGUCCUAGUAUUGCAAAUACUGGUGCGAAUAGUAUUUAUUCUGGGUUUU
rnacentral:tRNA from 2 species